rnacentral:rRNA from 1 species
CAGCGCCACGAGUGGCAAUCGCAUAUUGGGCCUAAAGCGUCCGUAGUCGGCUUUGUAAAUCUCCUGUGAAAUUGGCUCGCUUAACGAGUCAGCGUGCGGGAGACACUACUUUGCUUGAGACCGGGAGGAGUUAGAGGUAUUUCGGGGGGAACGGUAAAAUGUGAUAAUCCUCGAAGGACCACCUAUGGCGAAGGCAUCUAACUAGAACGGAUCUGACGAUGAGGGACGAAGGCUAGGGGAGCAAACCGGAUUAGAUACCCGAGUAGUCC